UCUCCGUAGGUGAACCUGCGGAGGGAUCAUUACAGAGUUCAUGCCCUACCGGGUAGAUCUCCCACCCUAUGUUAUUAUUACUUUGUUGCUUUGGCGGGCCGUUAGGCUCCGGCCCGACUACCGGCCCCGGCUGGUAAGCGCCCGCCAGAGGACCCAAAACCCUGAAUAUUAGUGUCGUCUGAGUACUAUAUAAUAGUUAAAACUUUCAACAACGGAUCUCUUGGUUCGG
rnacentral:misc_RNA from 1 species